UACGAAGUGGGCUAGCGUUGCUCGGAAUCACUGGGCGUAAAGGGUGCGUAGGCGGGUCUUUAAGUCAGGGGUGAAAUCCUGGAGCUCAACUCCAGAACUGCCUUUGAUACUGAGGAUCUUGAGUUCGGGAGAGGUGAGUGGAACUGCGAGUGUAGAGGUGAAAUUCGUAGAUAUUCGCAAGAACACCAGUGGCGAAGGCGGCUCACUGGCCCGAUACUGACGCUGAGGCACGAAAGCGUGGGGAGCAAACAGG
rnacentral:rRNA from 1 species